UACAGAGGGUGCGAGCGUUGUCCGGAAUCAUUGGGCGUAAAGAGCGUGUAGGCGGCCAGAUAAGUCCGCUGUGAAAUCUCGAGGCUCAACUUCGAGCUGUCGGUGGAAACUGUCUGGCUAGAGUCCGGAAGAGGAGAAUGGAAUUCCUGGUGUAGCGGUGAAAUGCGCAGAUAUCAGGAAGAACACCCGUGGCGAAGGCGGUUCUCUGGGACGGUACUGACGCUGAGACGCGAAAGCGUGGGGAGCGAACAGG
rnacentral:rRNA from 1 species